GAGGAAAGAGGGAGGAGGGAUGAACACAUGCAAGUCGAACGGAAAGGCUCCUGCUUGCAGGGGUACUCGAGUGGCGAACGGGUGAGUAACACGUGGGUGAUCUGCCCUGCACUUCGGGAUAAGCCUGGGAAACUGGGUCUAAUACCGGAUAGGACCACAUUUUGGAUGGUGUGGUGGAAAGUUUUUCGGUGUGGGAUGAGCUCGCGGCCUAUCAGCUUGUUGGUGGGGUAAUGGCCUACCAAGGCGUCGACGGGUAGCCGGCCUGAGAGGGUGUACGGCCACAUUGGGACUGAGAUACGGCCCAGACUCCUACGGGAGGCAGCAGUGGGGAAUAUUGCACAAUGGGCGCAAGCCUGAUGCAGCGACGCCGCGUGGGGGAUGACGGCCUUCGGGUUGUAAACUCCUUUCGCUAGGGACGAAGCGCAAGUGACGGUACCUGGAGAAGAAGCACCGGCUAACUACGUG
rnacentral:rRNA from 1 species